CAGCCGCCGCGGUAAUACGGAGGGAGCUAGCGUUGUUCGGAAUUACUGGGCGUAAAGCGUGCGUAGGUGGUUGUUUAAGUCUGCUGUGAAAGCCCUGGGCUCAACCUGGGAAUUGCAGUGGAUACUGGGUCACUAGAGUGUGGUAGAGGAUAGUGGAAUUUCCGGUGUAGCAGUGAAAUGCGUAGAGAUCGGAAGGAACAUCUGUGGCGAAGGCGACUAUCUGGGCCAACACUGACACUGAGGCACGAAAGCGUGGGGAGCAAACAGGAUUAGAGACCCCUGUAGUCCCUGUCUCUUAUAC
rnacentral:rRNA from 1 species